UGGGGAAUAUUGCACACUGGAGGGAACUCUGAUGCAGCGACGCCGCGUGAACGAAGAAGGCUUUCGAGUCGUAAAGUUCUUUUAUAUGGGAAGAUAAUGACGGUACCAUAAGAAAAAGCCCCGGCUAACUACGUGCCAGCAGCCGCGGUAAUACGUAGGGGGCUAGCGUUGUCCGGAAUCACUGGGCGUAAAGGGUUCGCAGGCGGAAAUGCAAGUCAGGUGUAAAAGGCAGUAGCUUAACUACUGUAAGCAUUUGAAACUGCAUAUCUUGAGAAGAGUAGAGGUAAGUGGAAUUUUUAGUGUAGCGGUGAAAUGCGUAGAUAUUAAAAAGAAUACCGGUGGCGAAGGCGACUUACUGGGCUCAUUCUGACGCUGAGGAACGAAAGCGUGGGUAGCAAACAGG
rnacentral:rRNA from 1 species